rnacentral:misc_RNA from 1 species
AUACCUCAAGCUAGACUUAAGUGUUUAGCUUGGACUUGGACUCUGCCGUGACCUUUUCUGAAGGGGACGGCUAGUCUUAAAUGCAUUAGCUGAUCCAUGCUGUAUGUUAGGUUCUACUCGGCGUGAUAAUUAUCUGACCGCUGAGGACAUUUGCUUUACUGUGAAUGGCCAGAUGUGCCUUGGGUUGCUUCUAAUCUGUCUGCACGCAAGUGCAACAACUUUUCAACU